rnacentral:rRNA from 1 species
GUGUUGAGGAAGAUAAUGACGGUACUCAACAAGGAAGUGACGGCUAACUACGUGCCAGCAGCCGCGGUAAAACGUAGGUCACAAGCGUUGUCCGGAAUUACUGGGUGUAAAGGGAGCGCAGGCGGGARRACAAGUUGGAAGUGAAAUCCAUGGGCUCAACCCAUGAACUGCUUUCAAAACUGUUUUUCUUGAGUAGUGCAGAGGUAGGCGGAAUUCCCGGUGUAGCGGUGGAAUGCGUAGAUAUCGGGAGGAACACCAGUGGCGAAGGCGGCCUACUGGGCACCAACUGACGCUGAGGCUCGAAAGUGUGGGUAGCAAACAGGAUUAGAUACCCUGGUAGUCCACACCGUAAACGAUGAUUACUAGGUGUUGGAGGAUUGACCCCUUCAGUGCCGCAGUUAACACAAUAAGUAAUCCACCUGGGGAGUACGACCGCAAGGUUGAAACUCAAAGGAAUUGACGGGGGCCCGCACAAGCAGUGGAGUAUGUGGUUUAAUUCGACGCAACGCGAAGAACCUUACCAAGUCUUGACAUCCUGCGACGGUGCUGGAAACAGUAUUUUCCUUCGGGACGCAGAGACAGGUGGUGCAUGGUUGUCGUCAGCUCGUGUCGUGAGAUGUUGGGUUAAGUCCCGCAACGAGCGCAACCCUUAUGGUCAGUUACUACGCAAGAGGACUCUGGCCGGA